CAAGUUAAUCUAUUAGUUGGGAUUUUCAUUUACAUUGAAAUGAUGAUUGUGCAAUUCGAUCUAACUUGA
rnacentral:tRNA from 1 species